rnacentral:rRNA from 1 species
GACGAACGCUGGCGGCGUGCCUAAUACAUGCAAGUCGAACGAAGCUGUUUUAACUGGUGCUUGCACCGACUUAAACAACUGAGUGGCGAACGGGUGAGUAACACGUGGGUAACCUGCCCCAAAGCGGGGGAUAACAUUUGGAAACAGAUGCUAAUACCGCAUAACCACAGAAACCACAUGGUUUCUGUGUCAAAGAUGGUUUCGGCUAUCACUUUGGGAUGGACCCGCGGCGUAUUAGCUAGUUGGUAAGGUAAUGGCUUACCAAGGCAAUGAUACGUAGCCGAACUGAGAGGUUGAUCGGCCACAUUGGGACUGAGACACGGCCCAAACUCCUACGGGAGGCAGCAGUAGGGAAUCUUCCACAAUGGACGAAAGUCUGAUGGAGCAACGCCGCGUGAGUGAAGAAGGUCUUCGGAUCGUAAAACUCUGUUGUCAGAGAAGAACGUGUGCGAGAGUAACUGUUCGUGCAGUGACGGUAUCCGGCCAGAAAGCCACGGCUAACUACGUGCCAGCCGCCGCAGUAA